rnacentral:snoRNA from 1 species
AAGACUGUGCUUCAUAGGAUCAUUUCUAUAGGCAAGUUUUCAUUUCUACUUUCCCGAAAGUAGAGCUUAUUCAACCCACGAUGAUGAGCGGUAGUGGCUGUCCUGGAGCGUGAAACUGUCGGAUCUCGGCUUCGUCCCUGACGUGUCGAUCUGUACUUGAUGAUCGUAUCCCAUGUGAAGGCCAGACACAUUCUGAGUGGU